ACUUUAGCUUUAAUUUAUAAGUUGUUCUGUGUUCAGUUACUUGAAUGUUAACAUGUUCUGAAACAUAAAACUCCCUACUCACCUUCUGUUUUUUCUGCUCUUCUUUUUGAGGUUAUUUUUGUUUAUCAGAGAAAAACAGAUCACUCAGCUGAGAAGCAACUCUUUUGUUUUAUAUUAAAUAUGUCUGGGAUAAGCAUACCUCACUUAAUUCCUAAAGACUGAUGAGUUAUUGGAGAGAAGUGGGAGGAGCAGCAGAACAGGGUGUUGUAAAUGAAAUUCAAAUAUUCUUCAGCACAAAAAAAAAAAAAAAGCGUAUUUUCAGCUACAGUUAGGACAGAGUCUAAGUUUCAGUAAAAAUCCUGAAAGAACAAGUGCCAGGUAUGAUCUGAACCAUUGUUAUCUACAUUAAAUAUUACCAAUAAAAAGGGAAUUUCCUGGAUUUGCGUGUGUCUCUAUGAACAUGUAGGUUACAGAGUAGCAGAGCUUGAUACUGUAUUGACAUUUCAAGGUUUAGUACAACAGAGUGAGCUGGGCAUCGGAACUAAAUCCAAAUGGAUGAACAAGGGUUUAUAGUUAAGCAAAUAAAUCAGUACAGUUCAGUAAGUUAACGCAAACAAAACAAGCAGUCAAAGCUUUGGUUUCUUUCAGCUCUUGUCAGUGUGUGUCCCCAUGUGUUCAGGUAAAGCAGUGGCUGCUCCUUAUUACACGUAUUUCUAGAGCACAUACAAGCACAUUUGGGAUCCUAAUGUUUAUUACUCCUUCGAGCAUUCCUUCUCUGGUAAAGAGGUAAGAGAAGCUAAAGUUGCCAGGAUGGGAAAUUAGGGAGUUUUAAUGCAAAUAUAAUCAAUAAUAAUAGCUGAAAGAGCUAAUGUACAAAAAACUGUUCAGACAGAGCAGGGAGAGCUUUCCAGAGAUCAGUGGAACCUGUUUAAAUAUGUGGAAUAAGUGCAAGGAAUAGGCUGGCUUUGCUCCAAGAACAGACAGGCCUAAUAAUACUCAAUCCAACUUCCAAAAAUCUAAAAAAGCAGAAGUUCUUGGACAUGAAGUCCUAAGGGGAGGAGAAGAAAUUAAAAUUCCGAAGUAGGCUGUGCACAGAAAUUCUUUAACACGUUAGUAAUGCCAUGUAAUUAGAUUUUUCAGGUAAACGCUGAAAAAGUCAAGAAUAACAAGGGUCGGCUUCUGGCAUUUCAAGACACAGCGCUGGGAGCGCAGCAGGCGGGUAUCAACCUGCAGCCCCAAGAGCUGGUGAGGAUGCACACAAAUUAGCUACGGAUCAUAGUCAAGAUCCAGCCUGCUCACAUGAAAACAGCUCUUGAAAUAGCUCCUUCCCUCAGUAAUGCUGCAGGCACGAGUCACCAGCAAACUUAACGCUGUAGCGACAGUUCUCCAAGCUCUGUCCGAAAUGGCUCUAUUAUUUCAGUUGCAGGGCUACAGAAACACGAGUCACCUUUUAUCUGGCAUUACUCGUCAAAAAUACCCCACAAAGUUUCUUGAGCCUUUCUGUGCAUCCUAAUAACCAUUCAUGCGCAGGGGAUGACAUUAAAACUGAGCUAGCCCUACACAUCCAGAAGAAAAACAAAAUGGAAGUAAAAAUCCAUCAACCUAGGGAAAAAAAAAAAAAAAACAGCAAGCAUUGCUUUGCCCUUACACUAAAAUUGCUUCUUCCUUCAGUUCUGCUGAUGUCUCCUACACUGAAGGAAAGAGUUAGGGGGAUCGUUUAAGUAAGAACAGCUUGAAUACAGCACGGAAUUACUUCUAAUACUCAACGGGCUCCUACAAAUUCAACAGGCUCUGCAGAAGAUGAAUAAACUGGAAAAUUCAAGAUUAUAUUUACACACUUCCUGCACUGAAACAAAAACAUGUACACUGGAAGUGGUAAACAGUGUUUUAGAUGCUUCUAAUGACACCUCUGGAGUUUAUUGCCAGAAUUCAGUAACUGGCCAGAGAUGAGGAACAGCCAUGCACGUAUUUAAGGGGAGAAAGGCUCGGCAAAAAAAUAGGAAGUCACAAACAGGAAAACGAGCUCAUUCUCACCAACAGGCAAGUCCUAAGGAUUACACUGACCAGAGAAGGAACCAUACAACACGACAAAACCCUUCUAGCGAAGUCAUUUCACAAGGUUAACACAAGGCCAAAUCCGAUACCGUAUGAAUAUAUAUCCUAAAGAAUUCCAAAGCUAAUGUAGAGAACAAACAGCAAAGCGUUUGGACACAGAGCAUGUGCGGUUUCCUCCUCUGCAUCACAAAAAGAAUCGGGUUUUGUGCUUUUCCCCCCCCUCCCAAGCAGCACAGACCCAUGGAAGGGAGGGAAUAACGCCGCCCUCCGCCAUGAGAUUUCGGGCUCCAUCCCUGGGCAAGAGCCCGGCUGCGAAGGCCCGGGGGGUUCCCGGGGAGGAGCCCCGCGAGUCGGGCAGCCGGGCCAGGUCCCAGCAAGUGACACAGCUGGUCGGUGGCUCGGUGGCAGCCCAGGUGCUCCCGAUGGGAGCCUAAAGCCCCGUGGGGACCCCGGGCCCGAAGUGGGGUGGCGGGGACGGGACGAAGGAGGGGGGGCGGACAGAGAACGGCGGGGCCGCCGCUCUCCGGGAGCGGCGCGGGGGGUGCGGGGGGGCUGCCGGCCGGUCACCGCGGCGAGAGCGGGCGCCCCCCAGCCGUGCCCGCCCCGGUGCUGCUGCAUGGCGCUGCUCAGCCUGCCUUGCAGAGGGAGCUCGAGUCCCGCUCUGCGCCUCGCAGCGCCUCUCACUCCGCCGCACACGCCAGCGCAGCGAGGCGGCGGCCGGCGGGAGCGGGACACGCAGCCGUCCCCACGGGCGGCGCCCGGCCGGACACCGCGGCAGGACGCGGGCGGAGGGCACCGGGCGAGCCCCGGGAAGGAAGAGAGUAAUUUUGUCCUGGCCUGCAGCUCCCUGCCUAUCCUGACAGAAGUCUGCUUUCCUGCUCUGAUCUCUACAGUCAAGGUGUAGCUUAUCUCAGAAAGUGGAAUUGUGCUGCAGGGAGGGGACGAGGUUUUGGCAGGGCAAGGAGAACACCCAGGUAGGUGAGUGAAUUAAAUUAAUGGCUUUGGCCACUGGGGCAUUGGGCUGGUUUGUUUUCCAGCAGUUAUUGAAAGGGGAAAAGAAACCAAACCAAAUAUGUGAGAGUGCUGGGCCGCUUUCCACCUCUCAGGUGCUCUUGUCUGCAGUUGUAUGUGUCAACUGGGACCUACAUCCCUCAUCUCUUGCUGCCUAAAGCUGACAGUGUAAUGCAGUGCUCUGGGAAAAGCACUGUGCUUUCCUCCUGGAGCUUGUCCAGCCCCCAAAGCAGGUGGAAGAAGGCUAAGGGAUGAGUGAUGCAGCAGUGUCCCCUGGUUACCCCUCCCUGCAAUCCCAUCUGCAGAUAAAACUGCAUCCAGAAGUGGUUUAUGCUGAGGGGGUGUCCCAGAUGGGACCAUAUGCACCACGGCGUGCUACAUUCUGCCUGAGCCAGCCCCAAAAAGCUCUGCUACAGUGAGGAGGAAGGAAGUGAAGGCUGUAACCUCCUGGGACGUGCUUAGAAACCCUGGGGAGCAUCAAUGGACGGGCCUUGCUUGGCCUGGGAAGUAUAAAUCCCUGGCUCUGCUGGUGAUGGCAGUGCCCCUGCUCUGGCAUGGGUGGGUGGCAGGACUGGGGGAAUGUCCCUGCCUCUGCUGCCUUUGGAGGCAUCUUUGCUGCUCUAAACUACUCCACUCCCAGGACCAUACGGACCACUAAGAUGAUUAAGGGAUUGGACCAGCUGUCAUGAGAGCUGGAAAAAUGAAGGCUUGGGAGGGGGGUUCUUGUCCAUGCCUGGUGGUGGGUAAAGAAUAGUAAGGUUGGAAGGAACCACUAUGGGUCAUCUGAUCCAACCUCUCUACUCAAGAGGUCAUCCUAGAGGGCAUUGGACAGGAUUGUGUCCAGAUGGUUUUUUAAUGCCUCCAGUGAGAGAGACUCCACACCCUCUCUGGGCAACCUGUUCCUUUGUGUGGUCAUCCACACAAAAUUCUUCCUCAUUUUCGUGUGGAACUUUCUGUGCAUUAGUUUCUGCCCAUUGCCUCUUGUCCUGUUGCUGAACACCACUGAGCAGAACCUGAUUCAUCCCCUGGCACCCUCUCUGCAAAUACUGACAGACAUUGAUGAGAUCCCCUCUCAGUCAUAACUUCUGGAGGCUGAACAGCUCCAGCUCCCUCAGUCUUUCCUUGUAAGAGAGAUGCCCUAAUUCCUUAAUCAUCUGUGUAUCCUUCUGUUGGAUCUGCUCCAAGAACUCCAUGUUUCUCUUGUACUGAGGAGCCAGAACUGGACACAGCACUCCAGAUGUGGCCUCACUGGGGCUGAAGGGGCAGGAUCAGCUCGCUUGCCCUGCUGCCAAUGCUCUUCCUAUUGCAUCUCAGGAUAUCAGUGGCCUUCUGCGUUCCCAGGGCACACUGCUGGCUAAGGGACAGCUUCUUGUCCACCAAGACUCUCUGGUCCUUCUCUGCAGAGCUGCUUCCCAGCAGGUUGGCCCCCAUCAGGUACUGGUACAUGGAGUUAUUCUUCCCCAGGUGCACCAUCAUGGUGGAUGUUCAGGGAUUUAAACCAGCAGAAGGUGAUGGGCGGGGUUUGAGAAGAAGGCAAACAAUACAAGCUUAAAAAGAAGUCACCAGUGAAACCACAGAGACACAUCACAGGGAGAGGGGGAGCAGUUCUAGGGGUCUCCAGACCCACGGUGACACCAUGCAGGGUGUAGGAACAAGGGCCCCAGCAGCCCUACUCCAUGAUGCAGGCAGAAAUAUCCAGGAUCCCACCUUUCAACCCAGCUCAGUCGGGAGGUGGCACAAGACCUAACACCCUGCUGUGCACGUUGUAGCCUGAUGCCACCUCCUGCUUGGUGGGGCAGAAGGCUCCAUGUCACCAGCCACAUGCUGCCUAGGCCACUGAACUCAGGACAUUUAAUCAAAGCAGUGAGAACCAAUUGUGUUGUGUCAGGGAGGUGGCCCCCACCCUGCUGCUGCACUAUGCUGUCACAGCCACCAAGAGGGCAAAGUUCCUGGGAGAGCCAGAGGAAACAGUGCUUCCUUCCCAACAAGCUUCCAACAAUCCAGCAGCUUGUUGGUGCUGAGGAGCUGCACAGGAAGGGCACAAAAACCUCCAGAAAACCUCCAGCCUCAGGGCAGGUUGUGAGGGACGAGCAGCAAGAGGGGUCACAGAGAACAGCCUCCCUCCCAGCCCAGUGGUGUGUCCCUCACACAGUAAGGUGGGGACAGCGGAUAUCCUGGGACAAGGCACAGCCCGGGAGGCAGAGCAGCUCACAGGGUGGUUUAGCAUUACCUGUCACACCCAUCCGGUGUGGGGACAUUUGGGAACAUGGCCUGGCCACCACAGCUGCUGCAAUCUGCUUCCAGUGCUGGACAUGGGUUUUUACUGGUCCAAAGUGGAAGUCAGAGCCUCGAUAACCAACAGCAGCUGGAGAUGGGGAAUGUGUGGGUUUACACACACACACACACACAGGGCUCUUUCCAUUCCAAGGGCAGCCCUGGUUUCAGUGCCCCCCAUCCUGUGUGGACACUUCCUACUACCUUGGGUGAUGCAUCCCAUGCCCACCAGCCAACAUUUUGGUAACAACUGGCUGAAUUGCAGGGCCAAAAAUCACAAUUAUUUCCCAUGACAUCCUCUGUCACCCUCCAGGUUACAUGGAUGCUAUGCUGACACCCAACUUGCCCCAUCCCAGGGCACUGGGGCCAAAGAAACACCCUUACAGCAACACCAACACUCUUUAAAGGUUUUUAUUUCUGCUUUAAAAUCAAAAUUAUUCAUUCUCUGUAAUUACAUUAUAUAUAGAUUUAUAGAGACAUUAUAGAAAAGAAUUUUUUGCUUUUGUUUUUCUGCAAAAAUCUGUAAAUAAAAAAUAAAAUAAAACAAAACAAACAAAAAAAAA